rnacentral:lncRNA from 1 species
GAUCAAUACCACUUUGCUACCAAAAAAUGGCCCAGACGAUGAGAUUUGAUGUAUUUAAAGUAUCGUUUCACCCUUUUAACCUAGUGAAUCAUUGAGAACGCUUUCAGUGUUGCUUUGCUGCUCUUUUGUUUCUCACUGUUCAAAGUGUUAUGAUUGUUCUCAAAAAAAAAAAAAAAAAAAGUUAGACGUUGGUGUGUGAAGGAAGGAUGCAGGCUUCACACCUACAAGUGGGAGUGUACCCCCAUCAGACCUGUGUUUCUCUGUGUUAGGGGCGGAAGAAGUAGUAUGUUUCAACACUGUAUUUGAGGAGGUGUGUAUAAAACCUAAAAAGUGUAAAAAUGUCCCUUCUCGAACAUUCAGGGAGUCGUUUAAAACGUCAUUAGUCACCUUGUAUCUUUUGUGAUACCUUUAAGCCUUUAUAGGGUAAAAGAUUCAGUAGCUCUGACAAUUAGAACUCACCCCCCACCCCUUACAGAACAUUGAUAUGAAAUUACCCUCCAGCGCAGACAGCUUUGU